rnacentral:precursor_RNA from 1 species
UAAAUCUGUGUCCAUUACUGUAAACCAGUAAUGGACACAGAUUUA